rnacentral:rRNA from 1 species
AAUAGAUACCCUGGUAGUCCACGCCGUAAACGAUGAGUGCUAAGUGUUAGGGGGUUUCCGCCCCUUAGUGCUGCAGCUAACGCAUUAAGCACUCCGCCUGGGGGGGUACGGCCGCAAGGCUGAAACUCAAAGGAAUUGACGGGGGCCCGCACAAGCGGUGGAGCAUGUGGUUUAAUUCGAAGCAACGCGAAGAACCUUACCAGGUCUUGACAUCUCCUGACCGCCCUGGAGACAGGGUCUUCCCUUCGGGGACAGGAUGACAGGUGGUGCAUGGUUGUCGUCAGCUCGUGUCGUGAGAUGUUGGGUUAAGUCCCGCAACGAGCGCAACCCUUGUCCUUAGUUGCCAGCAUUCAGUUGGGCACUCUAAGGAGACUGCCGGCUAAAAGUCGGAGGAAGGUGGGGAUGACGUCAAAUCAUCAUGCCCCUUAUGACCUGAGCUACACACGUGCUACAAUGGGCGGUACAGAGGGUCGCGAACCCGCGAGGGGGAGCCAAUCCCAAAAAGCCGCUCUCAGUUCGGAUUGCAGGCUGCAACUCG